UGGCAGGAUCUGGAAUUGUUUGGGGUUAUAUCUUAGGGGACACACAUACACAGUACCUCACCCCAUUCCCAUUAGUUUUUUGUUGUUGUUUUGUUGUUGUUUUGAGACAGGGUCUCUUUAUAUAGCCAUGGUUGUCCUGAAACUCACUAGGUAGACCAGGCUGGCCUUAAAGUCACAGAGAUCUGUCAGCAUUUGUCUCCUAAGUGCUGAGUUUAAUGGAGUAUGCCACCAUGCCCAUCUGGUUAGUUUUUUGUUAACUUGAUACAAGCUAGGUUCUGGGAAGAGGGAAUCUAAAUUAACAUGUCUCCAUCAGAUUGCCUUUGGCAAGUCUGGGGUAUUUUCUUAUUAAUGAUUGGUGUGGGUAGUGCUACCCCUUGACAUAUGGUUCUGGGAAGAUUAAGAAAUGUAGCUGUUGUGAACCUGGGAAUCGAGCCUGUAAACAGCAUUCCUCCAUGGCCUCUGCUUCCGUUCCUCCCUAGACUCCCUUCACGAUGGACUGUAAACUGUAAGCAACAAUUUUGGUCAUGGUGUUUUAUCACAGCAUUAGAAACUUAGCUAACACAACCUCUCCCAGCUACUAAGGGGAGGUGUUCCAGCUGCACUGGACUUCUUAUUAGGCAAACUCCUAAUCUUCUGUGUAGUAUAAUUUUCAUUUAAUCCCCCCUACCCAGCCCCCAUAUGUGUGAUGUGUGGUGUGUGGUGUGUGGUGUGUGUGUGUGUGUGUGUGUGUGUGUGUGUGUGUGUGUAGGAAGCUUAUAAAACAGGAAGUUUCCUUUGCUGUUUUUCAGGUAUCCUUAGUACUGUUUCUUUUCUGCCCUCUCCUCUGCCCUUGCUGGCCCCCAUCCUCUAGUUUUUACUAUAAUUCCUUCUUUUAAAUUUAUUUUACUUGUGGAUGUUUUACAUUUAUUUACUUAUUUUGUGUGUGUGCUCACACAUGUUUGCAGAGAUCAGGGAAGUUUUUGAGAGUUCUUUCUCCUUCUGCUAUGUGGUUUCUGGAGGAUCAAACUCAGGUAGUCAGGCCUGGUGGCAGGCACCUUCAAUCAUGGAGCCAUCUUCUAGCCCCUGUAAUUUUCUUUUUAAUACUUUUCCUAUUUCAUAGAAACCAAACUAAAAUUGAGUAUAAAGAAAGCCAGGAGAAUACACAGAGAGUCAGGCCUUUUUCCUCAGGGAAGUCUGGUGCAUCUUUAAAUGAAGCGUUUUACCACAUCUCUCCUUUUGGGGAGGUUUUGUUAUUUUCAGUUCUGGGUAUUUACCUCAGGCCCUGGCUCAUGCUAAGCCAUUGCUGUUCUUCGAAGCUAUGCCUCAGCCACCUGGAAAAUGUUUUCACACACUUGACUGCUAGUGUUCUCGGCAUUGGAGUUUGUAAGAAAACAUCCCUCGUCUUGUCCAGUCCUGACUUUUUUUGACUUUGAGAUGGGGGUCUUGCUAUAUAGCCUAGGCUGGCCUUCAACUCACUGUGUAGCUCAAGAUGGCUUUACCCACGCAGCUGUGCUCCUGCCUCAGACAUCUGUAUGUCAGGGCAACAGGGAUGUGCCACUGUGCCAGCCUAGCCGUUUUCUUUCCUCAUGGCCAGUUUUCUAGGGAAGUCUUUCGGAUGGUUUAAAUAAAAGCAUGGUUUUCACUGUGUAGCACAUGCUAGCCUAUAACUCACGCCUGUGUCUAUCUCCUGAGUGUUGGAGUUCAGGUAUGUGCCAUCAUGCCAGGCUUCAACAUGAAUAUUUAAAAAUUUUAAAUAGACAAUUACAUUUCCUCUACUUUUUUAGCUCUUAAUUUAAAAUUUUUUAAUUACAAUAUAAUUACAUCAUUUCCCUUCCCUUUUUCCUUUCCCCUGAACCCUCAUGUUCUCUCCCUCCAAACCUUCCCACAUACCCCUAUUGCCUCUUAAAUUUGUGGUCUCUUUUUCUUUUAUUACUGUUUUUAACAUACAUAUAUACAUGUAUAUGUAUAUAUAAACACAAAUAUAUGAAUCCAACCCACUGAGUCUGUUUUAUGUUGUUUGUAUGUAUAUGAUUUCAGACAAAAAAGACUUGUUUUUGAACAUAUAAUUUACACACAGUGAACCUCACCCUUGUAAGUUGUUUCUCCCAGUGUUUUAUGAUUACAUUCCUUUGUUAACCAUCCUUAUAAUCAAAUCCUAUCACCUUUGAAACUGUCACCCCCAUUUCUCUUUGUAUUCCCCUUCCUAGCCGCCACCAGUCUCUGCCGCUCUUUUUAAUGCUUUGAGGAGACCUACAGUCUCUCUUCCUAGAAGUAGCUCACAGCUCCAGCUGGUAACUUAUAAACUUAGGAGUGGAUGGCUGACCUGUGCUGCACUUGCCUCUGCACAGGCAACUCUGAUUCAGGGUUAGGGAGAGCUUUUAAUACUGCUAUUUUACAUGUUUUUUCUGCUACUGUUAUUUAAACAGUAUGUAUGGAUUGUAAUCCUGGAUGAAAAUUGCUGGACACUUUUUUCUAGAUUGUAACUUAAUUUGUGAUUUCUAGUUUCAGCUUGUUCCAUUCUGUCUUGUAUUGGCUGCUGCCAAUUACCUAGCAUGAGAGCCUUUUCCCUUUGGUAGGAAAGCAGCUAAAUGAAUAACUAGAACAGGCUGCUGUUCUUGUGCCGGAUUGGCUAUCUUUUAAGUGGACUAGGUUAAUCUAUUAUAUAACAUGAGGUUAGGUUUUAUCAUUACUUAAUCUUGAUAGACUUGAUUUAAUUGGGCACUCAUGGGUAGAGCUGAUUGUAAUCCACUCAAUAGAAGAAAAACUGAAGGAAACUUAAGAACAUUCAUGCUUGUAUUUUUAAAGGUUUAUCUUUAAUUAUGUAUGUAUGUAUGUGUGGGUGUGUGUUUGCAUGCAGUGCCUGUGAAGGCCUGAGGCACUGGAUUCCCUGGAGCUGAAGGUGUUCCAGGCUGUUGUGAGCCACCCUGGACUCAGGUCCUCUAAGAGAAGUGUGUGCUCCGAACCUGUCCACUCUGCAGUCCCUCAUGCCUUAAACACCAAGUUCAUGAAUAUCAUAAAUACCAUCUGUAAUGUCUAUAUUAUUUUCACUCCUAUAUACAUUUUUAAAAACUACUUGAGGGCCUACUGUGGUGGAUAUUGAUAGAGACAUUAAUUUUAAUAGCAAAUUUACAAAGUUGAUAUUAUAAUUAUUGACAUUUGAGAGAUAGGAACUAAAGAAUAGGAAAGCAUAGGAACUUAUUAGUCUUUCUUGUUGAAUUUAUAACCACUUGGGAGGCACACUUGUGGAUAUGCUUGAGAGGAUGUUUCUAGAAAGGUUUAACUGCAGAGGGAAGAUUCAUCUUAACUGUGAGCAGCAUUGUCUCAUGGGCAAGGCCCGAGGCUGUAUGAAAAGAUAUAAAAAGAUAAGGAGAAAGCAGGCUGGACACCAGCAUCCAUCUCCUUCUGCUUUCUAUGAGUAGUGUGUCCUGCCACCUCGAUGGACUUCUAACCUUGAGCCAGAAUGAACCCUGCCUUUAGUUGCUUUUGUCUGGUACCUUGUUACAACCACAGAAGUAACUAAAACACUUACCCAAAGUUAGAUGGUUAGUAGGUAGCAAAUCUCAUCACCUGCUUCCCGGUGUUGUCUUUAUCCUGCUUGCUGUUACCUUCCUGUAAUGCAGCUGCACAAUGCUGGGGGUCAUCUUAAUGUCCCCCUUGGAACAAUGAAAUGAGUAGGUGUCUUCUUAUUCCACAAAUGUCUCUAACCAAUCACAGUUCAGUUAUGGCCUUUUGAAGCCAGGGACGCACAUCAGCUUAAAUGAAAUUUUGCAAAGGGCAUUAAUGCAUCCUGUGAGACCUCAGUCCCCAUGCAUUAUCAGAUGGGUGCAGGGGGAUUUCUGUAGGAGUUUGUGAGAUAGGCCAGUUCUAAAUUAUUCAGAAUGAUUUAUCAAUUGUCCUGUAUGUUGAAAUCCUCAGGGAAAUUGGAUCUAUAAUUCUAGGUCUUCCUUGGAGAAACUUAAAUGUCUUAGGAAAUGAACCAAAAAGUACAUUGAUAUUAGUUUUUUGGACUUUCUCUCUUAUGGUUAUGGAUAGCUUUGGGUCCAUACUACAGUAGAUGAAAAUUUUUAUUUCCUAAUAGCUAAAGUAAAUCACUAAAGGUAAUAAUAUGUAGGGUUUGUUGCUUUAAUGUAGAGUAUAAUGUUGGAAAGUGUAUAAAGUAUUUAGUCUUUUUUUUUUUUUUUUAGAUUUAUUUAUUACAUGUAAGUACACUGUAGCUGUCUUCAGACACUCCAGAAGAGGGAGUCAGAUCUCAUUACAGGUGGUUGUGAGCCACCAUGUGGUUGCUGGGAUUUGAACUUCGGACCUUCGGAAAAGCAGUCGGGUGCUCUUACCCACUGAACCAUCUCACCAGCCCAGUAUUUAGUCUUUAGCUAAAUCUGUGCAUUCCAUUUGACCUCACCUCUGGCUCAUGAAUGCUCAUUGACAGUUCGGUGUAUACUGGGUUUUAAGUUGACAUUGGAUAAUUCUUGGUUAAUUUCAGAAAUGAUAAAAAUAUCACCUGAUGAAAAAAAAUAGCAUUGAAAAUGUAAACGAGGAAAAUACCU
rnacentral:lncRNA from 1 species